rnacentral:rRNA from 1 species
CGGCGGACGGCUGAGUAACGCGUGGGAACAUGCCCCAAAGUGAGGGAUAAGCAUCGGAAACGGUGUCUAAUACCGCAUAUGAUCUUCGGAUUAAAGGAUUUAUCCGCUUUGGGAGUGGCCCGCGUACGAUUAGAUAGUUGGUGAGGUAAAGGCUCACCAAGUCUACGAUCGUUAACUGGUCUGAGAGGAUGAUCAGUCAGACUGGAACUGAGACACGGUCCAG